GUAAACGAUGAGUACUAGGUGUAGGAGGUAUCGACCCCUUCUGUGCCGCAGUAAACACAAUAAGUACUCCGCCUGGGAAGUACGAUCGCAAGAUUAAAACUCAAAGGAAUUGACGGGGGCCCGCACAAGCAGCGGAGCAUGUGGUUUAAUUCGAAGCAACGCGAAGAACCUUACCUGGACUUGACAUACCCUGAAUAUCUUAGAGAUAAGAGAAGCCCUUCGGGGCAGGGAUACAGGUGGUGCAUGGUUGUCGUCAGCUCGUGUCGUGAGAUGUUAGGUUAAGUCCUGCAACGAGCGCAACCCCUGUUGUUAGUUGCUAACAUUUAGUUGAGCACUCUAGCAAGACUGCCGCGGUUAACGCGGAGGAAGGUGGGGAUGACGUCAAAUCAUCAUGCCCCUUAUGUCCAGGGCAACACACGUGCUACAAUGGGCAGUACAGAGAGAAGCAAGACCGCAAGGUGGAGCAAACCUCAAAAACUGCCCCCAGUUCGGAUUGCAGGCUGAAACUCGCCUACAUGAAGUUGGAGUUGCUAGUAAUCGCGAAUCAGAAUGUCGCGGUGAAUACGUUCCCGGGCCUUGUACACACCGCCCGUCACACCAUGAGAGCUGGCAACACCCGAAGUCCGUAGUCUAACUUAGGAGGACGCGGCCGAAGGUGGGGUUAGUAAUUGGGGUGAAGUCGUAACAAGGUAGCCGUAGGAGAACCUGCGGCUGGAUCAC
rnacentral:rRNA from 1 species